rnacentral:rRNA from 1 species
CCAAGGCUAAAUACUCCUGACUGACCGAUAGUGAACCAGUACCGUGAGGGAAAGGCGAAAAGAACCCCGGCGAGGGGAGUGAAAAAGAACCUGAAACCGUGUACGUACAAGCAGUGGGAGCCCCACCACUAAGCCAGUGGUGAACUCCACAUCCGCAUCCUUUGCUGAGGAUACGGUUAACGGAGCGAAAGCGACGUUCAACCGCAAAACAAGCAGAGGGGGCUUAGUGGUGGGGUGACUGCGUACCUUUUGUAUAAUGGGUCAGCGACUUAUAUUCUGUAGCAAGGUUAACCGAAUAGGGGAGCCGGAGGGAAACCGAGUCUUAAUUGGGCGUUAAGUUGCAGGGUAUAGACCCGAAACCCGGUGAUCUAGCCAUGGGCAGGUUGAAGGUUGGGUAACACUAACUGGAGGACCGAACCGACUAAUGUUGAAAAAUUAGCGGAUGACCUGUGGCUGGGGGUGAAAGGCCAAUCAAACCGGGAGAUAGCUGGUUCUCCCCGAAAGCUAUUUAGGUAGCGCCUCGUGAAUUCAUCUCCGGGGGUAGAGCACUGUUUCGGCUAGGGGGCCAUCCCGGCUUACCAACCCGAUGCAAACUGCGAAUACCGGAGAAUGUUAUCACGGGAGACACACGGCGGGUGCUAACGUCCGUCGUGAAGAGGGAAACAACCCAGACCGCCAGCUAAGGUCCCAAAGUCAUGGUUAAGUGGGAAACGAUGUGGGAAGGCCCAGACAGCCAGGAUGUUGGCUUAGAAGCAGCCAUCAUUUAAAGAAAGCGUAAUAGCUCACUGGUCGAGUCGGCCUGCGCGGAAGAUGUAACGGGGCUAAACCAU